GAAGCGAUCGCGAGAAAAAAAAAUGCAACCUCCCAAAAUAAAGAGCAAAGAUUGCAUUAGGAGCGAACAGCGCUGCAGAAAUAGAUGGCAGCUUCGUGUCAGUGAGUUUGCAUCCCCUUUCCUGAUCCACGAGCUGGAGUGAUUAGAGCCCUGGAAGGGAAUUGUUACUCCCGUGGAGAAGUCCCCUUUUCCUGGCAGCCGUCUGCACUGUACACUCUGGAUGCCUCUCUCCAUCCACCCCACUCACUCUCUCCUCUCUCACCUCCUCUCUCCCUCUCUCCCGCAUUGAUUUUUUUUUCCUUUUUAGUUGACUGAAACAAAACAAAACAAAAGGGCCACUGGAUGUCUGCCUUCUUGGGGGGUGAGCCAGACAGACUGACAAACAAACAGACCCAACUGUGUUCGGGGGAGGGUUUCUCCUCCCGUUUUGCCCGGCAGCAGCAGCAUGGACGUGUUGGCUAGUUAUAGUAUAUUCCAGGAGCUACAACUUGUCCACGACACCGGCUACUUCUCAGCUUUGCCAUCCCUGGAGGAGACCUGGCAGCAGACAUGCCUUGAAUUGGAACGCUACCUACAGACAGAGCCCAGGAGGAUCUCGGAGACCUUUGGUGAGGACUUGGACUGUUUCCUCCACGCUUCUCCUCCCCCGUGCAUUGAGGAAAGCUUCCGGCGCUUAGACCCCCUGCUGCUCCCUGUGGAAGCGGCCAUCUGCGAGAAGAGCUCAGCAGUGGACAUUUUGCUCUCUCGGGACAAGUUGCUCUCUGAGACCUGCCUCAGCCUCCAGCCAACCAGCUCUUCUCUAGACAGCUACACAGCCGUCAACCAGGCCCAGCUCAACGCAGUGACCUCAUUAACGCCCCCGUCAUCCCCAGAGCUCAGCCGCCAUCUGGUCAAAACCUCACAGACUCUCUCAGCCGUGGAUGGCACGGUGACGUUGAAACUGGUGGCCAAGAAGGCUGCACUCAGCUCAGUAAAGGUGGGAGGGGUGGCAACAGCAGCAGCAGCCGUGGCGGCAGCUGGGACAGUUAAGAGUGGACAGAGCGACAGCGAACAAGGAGGGGUAGGGGCUGAGGCCUGCCCUGAAAACAAGAAGAGGGUUCACCGCUGUCAGUUUAACGGGUGCCGGAAAGUUUAUACAAAAAGCUCCCACUUAAAGGCCCACCAGAGGACUCACACAGGUGAGAAGCCUUACAAGUGCUCAUGGGAAGGGUGUGAGUGGCGUUUUGCACGAAGUGAUGAGCUCACAAGGCACUACAGGAAACACACAGGUGCAAAGCCCUUUAAGUGCAACCACUGCGACAGGUGUUUUUCCAGGUCUGACCAUCUUGCCCUCCAUAUGAAGAGACAUAUCUAAAAAUCCGGAAGGCCAGCGUUGGCAAGGCGUCGGCCGUCGUCUAAAGGAAAUGCCGUGAGGCGCAGGGGCUGGACUUCAAGCGGGGACCCUCUGCCCUGCAGAAGAAAGUUCUCACAAACCUCUGUGUACACACCUACACAGACCCACACACAGACACACACACACACUGUCAUGCACUCAGCUAUAUUUAAAAUAUAUACGUCUAUUCUUUAUGCCUUGCCCUAGCCAGAUGGUGGAAGACGAAGAAGGAAAGCAGGUGAACUCAGCAAGGCAGACUGGCUGCUGACUCCAGCACUAUUGGAAUUAUUUCCCGCUGUUGCCAAUGGAAAUCAAAGAAAAUGGAUAUGAUGUCUCAGCAGAUGGACGGCAGUAAGAGGGGCUUAUUUAACUCGCUUCUCAGUGCAACUUGAUAGGAGAAUACGACGUCUAAAGUUGCAUUUGUGUAGCCUAAUGUUUCUUUUGAAAUAGUUGGGGGAAAAUGACCUAGAAAACCAAAUUGCAGUUUGGUAGCCAAAAUUAACUCUUGGUUUAUCUGUCCUUUGUGUGUGAAAAGUCCUACUAUUCCGUGCGUCCAACUUCCUCACAGAACUGUUGAUCAGUUUUGGUUCUACUUAGUACUAUUGAGAUCUUUCGAGUCAAAACCAACGGCCUUAGCGGCGGCAGACUCUGGAAUAACACCUAACACCUUUCUGGCCUGCAUUUCUCUAGACUUCACUCUCCAGGGAGGAGUUUUCUUUUCUUACUUUUUGACUCUUGCACACCAUAUGCACUAGGGAUUCUGGAAACUUCUAGCAUGACUGCAAAGUGGCCAAGAGAAUAAAGUCCUUGAUGAUAAAUCACAGUGUAUCCCUUGAGCCUCACCUUAUUGCCAGUGCUAGAUUUUUUCUUUUUAAUCUCUCUGUUUUUGCUAACGAAAACUUGAAAAGCUUAUUUGGAAGCUUAAAUGUUUUAUCUUUUCUCCAUGGACUAAACCUCUCCAGGACUCUCGGCACCUGGAUGUCCAGCUCUCGAAGCAGCCAAUCAGAUGGGACAUCACAGUUCUCUCAUCUUCCUUGAGGCAUCAUGGUCUCGGCUCAUAGCGAUCAACCCUGUGCCGGUGUUACGGCCACCCUAGAACCAGUCUCAGCAUAGAUGUCGCUAGUCUCAAAGGGCAGCUGCAUAUGUGACCUAACUCUGGGUUAUGACCUGACAAAAAGCCAAAAAAAAAAAAAUCACUUUUUCCAGGUGUGGGGAAAACUGAGGAUGCCUCCCAAGUCUAGUGGCUUCAAAAAACGUCAUCCUUUCUUCCUCUCUCACGCCCACUGAGCUCAUAGGACCCCACAUGUUAAAACACUCCAUUCAGAAUGCCAUUGUGGGUACGGAGGGUUGACAGGUGAAGACAGAAAGAGAAGAUUGCACCGUGAUGAGGAGGGGGUUGCUACCGCAUCUUCACUGCUGGUGCUGAGAUGCUCAGGGCACUGUACUGGCCAUUUGGAAGCAGCGAUGAGCAGCUGAUUGGCUCUUGGGGAUGAUAAAUGAGACCGACUGGGCACCGAGUCAAGGGGCUAUCUGGAAGGCCGCCAUUUUCACCCAGCUCCUCUCAUCUUCAGGGGGCUCUUCUCUACACCUUGGUCUUCUCUGGCUCUCUUUCCAGUUUCUGCAGGCUCUCUUCUCUUCUGCUUUCCUUCAUCCUCAAAGUUGAAAAAUUGUAAUUGUCCAGGCUAGGUCUGAGGCUCAUUGCUGGCUGGCUCAGCUGUUGCUAGGGGGACAGGCGAGCCGUGGUGAGGCACCCGACAUUCAUCCUUCCAGAAUGAGGACACGGACACAGACGGGAGGAAAAGAGAGCGAACUUUGUGCCUUUCUGCAGGGUGAUGGACAGUAGUCCCCCUCUACAACUGGGAUGGAGUAUGUCCUUGCAAAUUGUUCUGUUUUUUUCAAGUGCAUCCAUUAGAAUAUGGUCCAACACUUGCAUUGACCCAAUUCCAGAAUCACCAGCUCCUUUUCGUCCACACUUCUGCCACGUGUCUUUUCAAAAGAUUUAAGGAGGGGAAAAUCAGAGCAAGGCAGUUCCAUGACAACCAAGAGGAAAGUUACAGCACUGGAGGAAAAAAACUAACAUAAUUUCAUUACAGUUAGAUGAGUUUCCUUAUUACUUCAGUGAGAGCGAAUACAGGGCACAGGCAGAAAGCGCAAUAAAUGAGGAAUCUAGAAACAUUUUUCCUAACUGUCUCUGGUGAGUUGUGACCUGAGGCAAAUCACUU